GAAAAAUUGUAUUUCGAGAACCAGAAGUCGUAGAGACUUGGGACCUUCACCAAUAAUCUUUAAUUCAUGUGACCUUUAAUAUGCAGUCAAGGUCAAAGGUCACUGAGUGCAAAAAAAAAUUACGCUGCAAUUUCAAGCUUACAUAUUAGGAAAACGAUAAGACUUUGCUGCAUACAUACAGCGUAUAAAAUGUUCCUCUCGACGAGCUCUACAUUUUAUAUGAUAAGUCAAAAAUGUCCGACUGUCUGUUCAAAAGUUACAACGGGAUGAUUCUUAAAAGUAUAGUAUUUUGUGUAUAUCUUUUUAAAGGUAACAGAUAUCAACCUACUAUAAACUGCAAAGAUGAUCAGUAAUUCAAGACCUUCAAUUUGAGGUCAAUGUCAGGUCAUGAUGAAAUUUCACCUUGACCUUCACAUUAUACUAUGACCUUGACCUUGUGAUAUUUGAAAGGUCAAGUGGUCCUGAGUUGAAUGGUGGUAGUCCCAUGUCUCUACGACUUCCGGUUCUCAAGUUUGGUAUUGCAUCAUAUAUAUUUGAUGAUUAAUUGUGACCUUGGUGAACUUUGAAAUUGUCCCAAUUCUUUUUCUAUAAUGUUGUCCUUUAACUGUAGAUCAUUUACCAUUUAACAGAUUUGAGAUAUCUAUUGUCGUUUUAGAGAUAAUGCAGUUUGAAAUUUUGCGAGCGGCGGCAUGUAUUUCUGAAUCAACAACAGCUUACCACUUAAAAUGUUUAAGAAAUUGAAGAGGUUAACAUAGUUAUAUGUUUGACCAAAUACCAAAAACAUUCCAUUGAAAAAAACACCAAAAAAUCAAUUUGAAAUUUUCAUGUUUUGCAUUGACUUUGUAAGUUUCAUAACUUCUAUUUAUAUAGUUGAUAUUGCAUCAUUUUUGGCACUUUGUCAAAUGGGGUCAUCUGAUAUAUCAAAUUGAAGGUCUUCAAUAAACUCUACUUAAAAAUGAAAAUUUUAAACCUCUUUUUCAUCCCAGGUGGAAGGGUGGGGUCAUUUAGUGCAAAAAUUCAAAUUUCUCAGAUGGUAAGGUUGUCGCAUAUCAAAUGAAAGAACAUAAAGCGUACAUUUCAAAUUUCAAAUUGACGUCCCCCAAAAAAUUGGUUGGAUGGGGUCAUUGAGUGCAAAAAAAAAAAUUUUUUACGAUAGGGUUGUUGUAUAUCAAAUGAAAGGUCAUGAUGUGUACAUUUGAAAUAUCAAAUUCCCAACCUCCAAAAAUUGGUUGGAUGGGGUUAUUAAGUGCAAAAAUCAAACUUUCUAGAACAUGGCGUUGUCGCAUAUCAAAUGAAAGCUCAUCUACCCUGUGUUACAUAUAUCAUACUUCCGAUCUCAAAAAUGUAGGCGGAUGAGGUCAUUAAGUGUAAAAAGCGAAAAGUUUCAGAAGGUAUGCUUGUCGUAUAUCAAACGAAAGGUCGUACAAAGAACAUUACGAAAACAUCACUUUUACAGGAAAGACCUUUCAAUUGUUUUACAAACAAUUGAGA
rnacentral:lncRNA from 1 species